UCUGUCUGUGUGAUGCUUUUGCCAGGCACAGAAGAGGAAUGGAGUCUUAGAACUUAAAAAUCCAAUUGCUAAAGCCACUGAACCAGUGACAUCGCUUCGUUUUGAAUCACAGCUGGCAAAAAUAGUAAAAACCAGCUGGAAUGUAAUUAUCAACUCCACCAGAAGUCCAUGGCCAGCGGAAAGAUCUCCAUGUACCUGGAAAAAGAAACAACCACCGAAGAUGAAGCAAAUCCAUGGAAAAUUACUGAUGGACUGACAAAGUUCUUACUGGAUUUUAAUGUAGCACUUCAAAGCCAGACUGCAUUUAUUAUAUCUUGAAUUUGCAAAUGCUGCAGUUAAACUUGCACAACUUUUUUUCCUUGGGAGCACUGUAAUUUACGAUUCAAUUAUAAAUUAAUUAAUUAGCCCUGACUUAAUUAAUUGAAAUUUCAAUUAAAAAUUAAGCAGCGUGUGGCUCAAGUGCAUUUUUAAUAAGUCCUGCAACAGGGCUAACUGAUGGCAUUCCUUAUUAGCUUAGAACAAAGUGGAAAUCUAAGGCACAAUCUAUUUCAGAAGUGUGUCAUUUUAAAUUGAUGUUUUUUCAAUCACCAUCAUAUUGGCAUAGAAUUAAUUUCAGAAUUCUUCUUGAAAUUGUAUUUCAUGCAUAUAUAUUUAAACUGUGAAUGUAGAUUAGCAUUACCUGCUGUUACCAGAUUUUGGGGAAUUCUAGAAGAGAAAUAUUCUCUAAAAGAAUAGCUGUAAAUAUUGCUUAGCAUAAACCCAUUCUAAUGAGAGAUCUAAGCCACAUAUAGGAGCUGUAAAUAAACCAGCAAUGCACUUAAACCAUCACUUCUACUUUCUGGGUUUAAAUCUGACACUAAAAAGUUAUUCUACUUUAAGAGUAGGAGCAAAAGUUGUUACCGUA